UAGCGUAGCCACUCGUCGUAUCCUACUCCAGUAAUCCUGCCCCUGCCGUUACAUAACGAAUGUGAUUUGCUUGUGUGUGAAACAAUUUAUUGUAAAUUAGUUUUGACUUGUUUUACAUAAUUUGGUCUAUGUAACUUUGUAGUCUGCCAAUAUCAAGAUUGCUGAAUGGAAUGAAAUUCAGGAGCUGCUACUGCUAGCUUGGGCUCUGUUUUAGCUGCCGCGCCUGCCUCCGGUAAAAUGUUCUGCAAGUUCUCCUGGCAUCCAUCGUCUUAUCUUGCGGUUUGGGCGUGUUGUCGUCGAUGCUGCUGCGGGGUGAGGAAGCCAGGGACAGAAUCAUGUGCUCCUGCGUUCAUCGGCGUGUGCGCUUGGGCCAUCAGCCUCAGCCCAUGACUGUGGUUCCGAUUCUGUCGAGCGAGAUCGAACUACCGUGGGGCACGUUCAGUACCUGGCAUGUGUCGUUCGUAAAAUACUGUACUGCGUACAGGGUACUCGCGUCCUACGUACAGGGUACUCGUACGAUCGUACUUAAUGUACAGGGGAGAUUGUAGUAUUGUAUAGUCGUGCGGUUGAGAUAAUAUUGCAGUGGAGGUGAGUAAAUUAAAUUACACAUACCCAGUGCGGCUAGGAGUACCAUAUUUGCAUUUUACACACAGGGAUCAACAAUUUUGAGUCCCCACAAAAAAAAAACCAAUACUUUUGAGUCGAGUUGUGACUCUACAUAUGAGCUGGUGGGCAUGGACUUUUUUUUUGAG
rnacentral:lncRNA from 1 species